rfam:Aspergillus brasiliensis CBS 101740 unplaced genomic scaffold ASPBRscaffold_8, whole genome shotgun sequence.
GGCAAGGUGGCCGAGUGGUUAUGGCGUUGGUUUUAGGCACCAAUUCGAAAGAGCGUGGGUUCGAAUCCCAUCCUUGUCA